rnacentral:rRNA from 1 species
CGCUGCGGCGUGCUUAACACAUGCAAGUCGAACGGGAUAGCACUGGAAGCCCUUCGGGGUGAAGGAGUUAUCGAGUGGCGGACGGGUGAGUAACGCGUGAGCAAUCUGUCCCAGACAGGGGGAUAACACUUGGAAACAGGUGCUAAUACCGCAUGAGACCACGGCAUCGCAUGGUGCUGAGGUAAAAAGGAGAAAACCGGUUUGGGGUGAGCUCGCGUCCGAUUAGCCAGUUGGCGGGGUAACGGCCCACCAAAGCGACGAUCGGUAGCCGACCUGAGAGGGUGAUCGGCCACAUUGGAACUGAGAGACGGUCCAAACUCCUACGGGAGGCAGCAGUGGGGAAUAUUGGGCAAUGGGCGAAAGCCUGAACCCCCAGCAACGCCGCGUGAGUGAAGAAGGCCUUCGGGUUGUAAAGCUCUGUUACAGGUGACGAAGAGCGUGACGGUAAUCUGUAAGGAAGCCCCGGCUAACUACGUGCCAGCCGCUGC